CGCGUAGGCGGUUUGGUAAGCUGGAUGUGAAACCCCCGGGCUCAACCUGGGAACUGCAUUCAGAACUGCCAGGCUAGAGUACAGUAGAGGAUAGUGGAAUUUCCGGUGUAGCGGUGAAAUGCGCAGAGAUCGGAAGGAACAUCAGUGGCGAAGGCGGCUAUCUGGACUGAUACUGACGCUGAGGUGCGAAAGCGUGGGGAGCAAACA
rnacentral:rRNA from 1 species